rnacentral:rRNA from 1 species
UAGGGAAUCUUCGGCAAUGGACGGAANUCNNGACCGAGCAACGCCGCGUGAGUGAAGAAGGUUUUCGGAUCGUAAAGCUCUGUUGUAAGAGAAGAACGAGUGUGAGAGUGGAAAGUUCACACUGUGACGGUAUCUUACCAGAAAGGGACGGCUAACUACGUGCCAGCAGCCGCGGUAAUACGUAGGUCCCGAGCGUUGUCCGGAUUUAUUGGGCGUAAAGCGAGCGCAGGCGGUUAGAUAAGUCUGAAGUUAAAGGCUGUGGCUUAACCAUAGUAGGCUUUGGAAACUGUUUAACUUGAGUGCAAGAGGGGAGAGUGGAAUUCCACGUGCAGCGGUGAAAUGCGUAGAUAUAUGGAGGAACACCGGUGGCGAAAGCGGCUCUCUGGCUUGUAACUGACGCUGAGGCUCGAAAGCGUGGGGAGCAAACAGGAUUAGAUACCCUGGUAGUCCACGCUGUAAACGAUGAGUGCUAGGUGUUAGACCCUUUCCGGGGUUUAGUGCCGUAGCUAACGCAUUAAGCACUCCGCCUGGGGAGUACGACCGCAAGUUG